AACUGAUAGGCCCACUCCUUUUUUCCUCCUUCUUCAACACAGCCGAACAGCAACACACGAGAACAACAGCAAAAUCACGAUAACACCAUAACCAAAACUAAAAUUGUAUCAACCCAGAAACAACCACAAUAAGGCCAAACUCAACCCAAAAUCGAGAAAACCAUCUACAAUCUGACCCUACCCUUCACCACGCGCGUCUCAUGCGAUAGUAGGACAAAGAAGGUCCUAAAAUCUUCUAGAACAAGUCUAGGUGUCGUCUCCAACGGAUAAUUUUGCGAAUCUCAGGAUAAUUGGUACGAUUUCGUACGUAGUUGGAUGAUAUUCAUUGGUCCUGGAGUACAAUUCAUUUUUCCCAAAUGGUAUUGGCCCGCCCAUUUCAAUUUCUCUCAUGAAAUCCAAAAACUGGUACAAAUUAUUGAUGAAACCCAAGCUGUGGAGGGAUUUUCGAAAAUCAAAUUCAAAAUAUCCUAUUUUUAAAUCCCUAAAAUACCCCCAAUUCUGUCUUCUACAUAAGAACCCACUUGGUACUAAUUUCAGGGUUGGGAAAUUUUUUUUACAAAACAGAAAUACACACCCAAACAAAAGGGAAAAAAAUUGGUCGCAAGAAUAGGCGAGAAUUUCCAUCAGUAAAAUUUUUAGGGAAGGCAAUCGACUAGUCGAGACUUUCAUAGCGGCAUUGAAUUUUCCUGUGGUAGUGAAGUCCAAAGGAGAUCGAGGUUCCAUUUUGCUGCUCCCGAACAGGCCCAUUUUUUGAGUCAAGCCCAAAGCCGGUUAAAUCGCACAUGGAUACAACGAGUUGAAA